rnacentral:lncRNA from 1 species
AGAUAGGGUCUCGCUCUUUCUCCCAGGGUGGAGUGCAGUGGUGCUAUCUCCGCUCACUGCAACCUCUGCUUCUGGACAAAUUAUACUUUUUAAACUGCACUGACUUAUACAACAGUCUUUUUUUUUUUUUUUUUAAGACAGGGUCUCACUCUGUCUCCUGGCUGGAGUGCAGUGGCAUGAUCACAGCUCACUGCAGCUUGACUUCCUGGGAAGCUCACCUGAGUAGCUAGGACAACAGGCACAUACCACCACAGCCAGCUAAUUUUUCUAUUUUUUGUAGAAGUGGGGUUUCACCAUGUUUCCCAGGCUGGUCUCAAACUCCUGGGUUCAAGUAAUCACCCUGCCUUGGCCUCCCAAAGUGUUGGGACUACAGGCGUGAGCCACAGCACCUGGCCUUAUGCCAACAAAACUCUUAUGAGUAAAACCAUUAUUAAGGUCUGUAGUAUCAGAGACCUCAAAAUGUGAAUAUACAGCAUAUGAUUUACUACAUCAUUUAAUAAAUGUCUGUUUAUUUCAGUAAUGGGAGAAUAUCACUUUUACUUUGAUAAUAUAAGGGUAGAUCAAAAGUUUCAGAUAUGUAUGAGAAAAGCCAGAUUAUAUUUUUAAAUGCUAUAUGUACUCUACAUCUCUUUCAUAAUGGAAUAGGAGAAAGAUGUCCUGAAAAAACUGGCAACAGUGGAUAGCCUCAGAGUUCUAAAUUAAUCAAAAUAUCUCAGGUUUCUUUCAUUCACAUAAUCUUUCUUCUGUGCUUAUGAUCUCAGUGGGGUUUCUUGGAUUCUGAGAUAAUGUGCCCCUUUGCUAUCUAGAAUGUGUAUGCCAUAGAAAUACUGGAUAGAGGUAGGAUCAGCAGCUAAUCUAUGAGAAAUUUUGUAUGAUUAGACACAAAAAAUUGAAUGCUUAUCCUACCGUCCAGUAAAAAAUAUUUUUCGGUGUCCCCAAAAAUAGCAAUUUAUUAAUGGAAAAAUAUAAUUUUAUCACUACCACUUUUUAAUGCUACAAGUUUCUCCAGGAGCAAAGGAUAAGAAGAAAAAGAGAAAUUUUAAUAAGUUAUUAUUAUUAUUAUUUUUGAGACAGUCUCGCUCUCUUGCCCAGGCUGGAGUGCAGUGGCUCCAUCUCAGCUCACUGCAACCUCCGCCUCCCGGGUUCAAACAGUUCUCCUGCCUCAGCCUCCCAAGUAGCUGGGAAUACAGGUGCACACUGCCACAACUGGUUAAUUUUUUUUUUUUUUUUGAGGUGAAGUUUCAUUCUUGUUGCCCAGGCUGGAGUGCAAUGGCGCGAUCUCAGCUCACCACAACCUCCGCCUCCCGGGUUCAAGCAGUUCUCCUGACUCAGCCUCCUGAGUAGCUGGGAUUACAGGCACCUGCCACCACGCCUGGCUAAUUUUGUAUUUUUAGUAGAGAUGGGGUUUCUCCAUGUUGGCCAGGCUGGUCUCAAACUCCUGACCUCAGGUGAUCUGCCCACCUCGGCCUCCCAAAGUGCUGGGAUUACAGGUGUGAGCCACCGCGCCUGGCCACACCUGGCUAAUUUUUUGUAUUUUAGUAGAGAUAGGGUUUCACUGUGUUGCCCAGGCUGUUCUCGAACUCCUGAGCUCAGGCAGUCCGCCCGCCUCGGCCUCCCAAAGUGCUGGGAUUAUAGGCGUGAGCCACCACACCCGGCCAAUAAGGUAUUAUAAUGGCAGAAUGUGGUUGAAGUGAAUCCAAAUAAGGAUAAUAAUAGUUCCUACUUCACAGUAAAGUUUUGAAGAUUAAAUCAGAUAACAUGUCAAAUAUUUAAUACUUUGCUGCUAUUCUUACUGUGUGAAUAUGUACAAUAUGAUACCUGUUUGUAGGCAGCUGAUAUUUUGUGUUACUGUUUGCAUUAAUUUAACAUUAAUGGGUAAAGAUGGCAGGUGAAAACUCCUAAACAUCUGGGGGCCGAAAUGGCAGUGGACUCCUUACUGAAAACAAGGAGAUAAAGUGAAACUCUGCAUACUGAACAAUGAGCUAGCUUCUUGCCUUAUUUCGUCUCUGAGAACUGACAGCUCAGCUCCUACUACCUGAGAUAGAUUUCUCUCCAGAAAAACUGACCCAUCCUGAAGAAAAACCUUUAAAAAACAAUGCUGGGGGUGUGAGGCUGAGGAAAAUGUUUUGCUGUUCCCUUACCUAUAAUGAAGCUCACCACUGAAAAGUCCUACCCAUGUACACAGAGAUGUUCCAGAUAGCUUUCUCUGUGUCUCUCAAAUAUGAAGGAUCCUGAGAUAAUUACGGCCAAGCUUCUAACUUGAAAGACUAUGACCAAACCAAACAGCAAAAAGGAACUUAAAGGAAAUACAGGUUUAAUAGCCCUUAUCUGAAACAGCUGGGACCAGAAGUGUCUCAAAUUUUGAAAUAUCUGCCUAUAUAUAAUGAGAUAGCUUGGGGAUGGGACCCAAGUCUAAACAAAAUUCAUUUAUAUUUCAUGUACACUUAAUACAAAUAGCCUGGAGUUAAUUUUAUACAGUAUUUUGAAAUAAUUGUGUGCAUGAAACAAAGUUUUGACCCAUCUCAUAAAAUCAGAUAGGGAAUUUUCUACUUGUGGCAUCAUGUUGGCACUCAAGUUUCGGAUUUUGGAGCAUUUUGGAUUUUAGAUUUUCAGAUUAUGGAUGCUCAACCUGUAGUGUUAAUGCAGGGAACAAAGAAAAUUUUAAAACAACCAAAAAACCUAAGUUAAUAUCCUUAGAAUUUUGAGAAGCCAUUGCACUCUCCAGAACAAGGUACUACUUAAAAGACUUGGAUUACCAGCUAAGUACAGUGGCUUAUGCCUGUAAUCCCAGGGCUUUGGGAGGUCGAGGUAGGAGGAUCACUUGAGGCCAGGAGUUUGAGACCAGCCUGGAAAACACAGUGAGACCUCUAUUUCCACAAAAAAUUUAAAAAUUAGCUGUGCACCCAUAGUCCUAGCUAUUCAGGACACUGAAGUGGAGGAUUGCUUGAACUCAGGAGUUCAAGGUUACAGUGUGCUGUGAUCGUGCCACUGCACUACAACCUGGGUGAGAGAGGGAGACCUUAUCUAUCGUGAAAGAAAAAGACUUGGAUUCCCCAUAUCUCUUAAAUGCAAGAGAAAACAAAGGGAAGUCCCAAUAUGAUCAAUUCUGUUAUGACAACUGUGUUAUUUGGACAGUAGUCAGUCCUGACUGAGGGCCGUAGAACUCGAAGAAGUCUCCCUGUGAUUUGGAGAAUAAAAAAUGACAAACGAUUCUGAUGAUCAAUUAAUAGAAGAUACAAAUGAAGUUGAACAAAUUACAACCAAGGCAAUUACUACUUCCAGAGAUACAAAAAUAUUAUAAAAGAAAGAAAAUGUAAUCAUGGUAUGCUAUAGAAGACAAUAUUAUCUAUGUACAUUUAUAUAUUCGAUAUGAAUUUAAAAAAAUUAUACAAUUAAGUGAUGAUAGGAGUAGAAGUCCCAGUGUAAGAUCAGGUUGGGGAAGGAGAAUAGGGGGAGAAGUAUGAAAAGCAAAAUCCUCAUCUUCCAUAGCAGAGAGUUAGAUAAUAUUUAUAAUUAAAAAGAAAAAAUGAGGGGAUUGUAAGCAGAGGAGGCAAUAUGCUAAUAUAUUUGGAGAUUAGAUGCCCAGGUUUUAAAAAAUGCUUUAUUUAUUUUUUAAUAAACAGAUACAGAGUCUCGCUUUGUUGCCCAGGCUGGUCUCGAAUGCCUGGCCUCAAUCCUCUUGCCUCAGCCUCCCAAAGUGCUGGGAUUAUAGGCGUGAGCCACCACGUCUGAUCAAAUGCCCAGAUACUAAGAAUUAGAAUCUAAUCCAAGCUCUGUCACUUAGUUAAUCUGUGACUGGGUAAAUUACUUAAUAUUUCUGCUCCAGAGUUUCAUCAUUUUUAAAAUGAUCAUUCUAAGAAUUUACUUCAUAAAUGCAGAGAGCUUAGAACAUAAUUGGCACAUUUUUAAUAAGUGUUCAAAUAAAUGUUAUAAUUAAAACCUUGUCACUUGGAAAUGAAGUAAACAGCAGAGAAGUGACUAAAAGUUGAAAGUGGCUGCCUCUGGAGAAUGGGAAUGAGAGGUAGGGAGAACAGGACAGGGGUCUAACAUUUUCUCUAUAAUGUCUUACAGCAACACUGUCCAAUAGAAUUUUUUUUUUUUUUUUUUGAGACAGAGUCUCAUUCCAUUAUCCAGGCUGCCCAGGCUAGAGUGCAGUGGCAUGAUCUCAGCUCACCACAGCCUCUGCCUCCCAGGUUCAAGCAAUUCUCCUGCCUCAGCCUCCUGAGUAGCUGGGAUUACAGGCACCUGCCACCAAGCCUGGCUAAUUUUUUUUAUUUUUUAGUAGAGAUGGGGGUUCACCAUGUUGGCCAGGCUGAUCUUGAACUCCUGACCUGAGGUGAUCCACCUGCCUCGGCCUCCCAAAGUGCUGGGAUUGCAGGCGUGAGCCACUGCACCUGGCCCAAUAUAAUUUUAAUGCAAACCAUUACAUGAUUUUAAAUCUUACACUUAAAAAAUUUAAAAAGAAAGUGAAAUUAAUUUUAAUGUUUUAUUUAAUCCUAUGUAUCCAAAAUAUUUAAAAUAUGUAAUCAUUAUAAACAAAUUAGAGAUUUUAUAUUAUUUUGUUUUGUACUAUUUGAAACCCAACAUAUAUUUUUACAUUUACAGCACAUCUCAAUUCACACUAGCCACGUUUUAAGUGUUCAAUAACCACAUGUGGCUAGUAGCUAUCAUACUGGACAACUAUGGUAAUAUUGGAUUUUUAAAAACAAUACAUAUCAUCAAUGGCUGCUAUUAAAUCAUAGAGAAACCCAGCCACUUUAUGUCUCCUGAUUAAAGACCACUACUUAAUUUGUACAGUGGUCUACUAAAAAAAAAAAAAAGACAGAAAAAAAGGAAGCAAGCAAACAAGCAAGCCUGAAUCUGAUCAAGCCUGUAGAUUCAAUUACCAAUUUACAGAAAAUAUAGAGGAGAAAAUAACACAUUAAAUGGCAUGUCAAGGAUGCAAUCAGCAAAAUCCAGAUGGUGAGAGACUCUUAGUAGACAAGCAAACCAAAAACAGGAAUUUUAAAAAUGUGACUGGGAAGGAAUUCAUGAAUUUAAAAAGACAUGGCUGGGUGCAGUGGCGCACGCCCGUAAUCUCAGCACUUUGGGAGCCUGAAGUGGACAGAUCACUUAGGUCAGGAGUUCCUGACCAGCCUGGCUAACAUGGCGAAGCCCUGUCUCUAAUAAAAAUACAAAAAAUUAGCCAGGCGUGGUGGCAUGCACCUGUAGACACAGCUACUCUGGAGGCUGAGGCUGGAGAAUCACUCGAACCCAGGAGGCAGAGGUUGCAGUGAACAAGAUUGCGCCACUGCACUCCUGCCUGGGCGACAGAGUGAGACUCCAUCUAAAAAAAAAAAAAGAAAAUAAAAUAAUAACAAGACAAAAGACUUGUCAAUAAAUUGUAAUAUGUGAUCCUUAUUUAGAUCCUGACUAGAACUCUAACAAUUUUUAUACUUGUGAAAUAACUGAAAAUCUGAUAUUAUUUUUACUAAUUCUUUUUGAGGCACAAUAAUACUUUUAGUUUUUUUAAAGAGCUAUUAUUUCUUAGGAAUAUAUGCUGAAAUAUUUAUGGAUAAAAUUAUAUGAUAUCUAGGAUUUGCUUCAAAAUAAGAUGGGGGAUGGCAACUUACGGAAAGUGGGUGGGAGUUUAGAUGAAAUGAAAUUGGCCAUAAAUUGAUAACUACUGAAGCUAGAUGAUAGGUACAUGGAGGUUCCUUACUUUACUCCUGUAUAUGUUGUUUUAAAUCUUCCACAAUAAGAGACUGAAAACAAAACUAUGAGGCAUGGUAUUAAUUUUAAAAAUAAACACUUAAAGACUAUAGGUCUUACCUAAGCCCAACAUUAAUUCCUUCAGACCUGAGGAGAGCUUUUUUUCUUAUUAAGCCCAGGAAACCUAUAUAUGUCAUCAGUCUGACUUUACACAGUCUCGCUUUCCAGCUCAUUUGAUACGCUCCAUCAGAAAUAAAUUUUCUAUUUAAAAUCUGUUUGUAAUGAUUUGAAAUUACCCCCUUGACAACCUAUAAAAGGCUUUAACACUUAACUAAAGGAAGAAGAAUUCUCAAAAAACAACAUCAGGCAAAUUCAAAAAGAUAAAUUCAAGACACUAGUCGAUACAGCUGGAGAAGUUACUUUUAUUCUUGCAGUUUUAUACUAGGAAGUCAACAUUUAAUAAGCCAUCAUCCACAAUUGAUUAAAAAUGUUUAAUCCUUAAAUUGUGCAUCAAUAUCCUAUGACUCCAAAUUUUAUUUAUCACUCUCCUUCAAGUCUGAAGAAAAUGAUUAAUUUGCUAAGUUCCACAGACAGUACAGUCCCACUGACAUAACAUUUAGUAUGAUGUCCUACUCUCAUAUUAGAAUUAAGGACAGCCAGUAUCAAACUGGCCUGAAACCUGAUUGUGUUCCUGGUUCAGAAUACCUGUAGUAAAUCUGUAAAUCCACACCAAGACACAACAUUAAACUAGGGUGUGUAUAUCUUAUAAAAACCUUUUCACAGUAAAAAUCAACAUUAAAAUUUUACCAAAUUCCAACAUUAUGGUUUUUGAAUCCAAUUAAGCUUUCAAAAUGCCUGAUUAGCUGUGAAUUAAUUAUAAAUAACUUCAUGUAGUUUGCCCAGCAUUUCAAAAUGGUUAUGGACUAUCAUGUUUAAAAUGUCAAAGUAUGCUAUACAUAUUGCACUUUUCUGCUAGGCUGGGCUAGUAUCUUCCAUGGCAAGAUCCUCAAACUACUGAAUAAAAUACACUUUUAAAUCAAUAUAGGUACUUGAUUAAUUUCCCUGAAAUUAUCAACAUCAUUACCAAAAUCUUCCAGGAUUUUGUAAGAUUUGAUUCCUUAAAUACAGUUUUAAAGUUAAACUUAUGGAGGGAAAAAAACCCUCAUAGAUUGACUGUAAAUUUUACGUCCUUUUUUGGUCCCUCAAUGACCAAAGAGAAUUUUAAACAAAUUAUGCUUCAUGUUUCCUGGCUUAAUAAAAAGCUACAAUUUUUAUUAUCCAAAUUAAGAAAUAUUAUACUAAUCAAAAGCUAUUAAUUUUGAAAUGUCUAUGUAUGUCUGUCUGUAGGUCCCCUUAGAACCUUUCCAAACAUUUAUAAUCAAGAGAUUUUAAUCAAUUAUGUACUAGAAUCAUAUUAAAGAAAAACUUAUUUUGCAAAAAUAAAAUCACUUUCCAAUAUGCUUGACAGAAACAAGCUAUUCAUUUUCAUUUGUGUUCCACUGAAGACAUUACUGAAAUCUGUCCAAUGGUUUAUUUCCAAGUGGUCCACUAUGGAAUUCUUCGGAAUGUUUUAAGAUUGGCUGUAGCUAGAGUUCUGACUUCCAUUUGGACCCUGCUCUCCUUCACUGUUCAAAUGGGGAAGAAAGAGAUUUUAUACCAAUUAAAAGAUCCAUUUUUACACCCUGAUAAGCCUACUGACUUUUAAAUUCAUUAUUCUGUGGCACAACUAUACAAAACAAAGACAUUCCUCAUUAUAAGACACGUGAAAAAUUAAAAUCCAGAAGACUAACAAACAUUGGUUUUAUGUUUUUAUUCUUAUAUAACUUUGUGCCCUCACAUAUAACAAGCAUUCUGGAAGUUAGUGUCCAUAUAUACUCAAAAACUUUAAAUUAGGGUAUGGGAUUUCAUUGUUAUUACAGGUAUCACUCAACAUAGAGAUUACAGCUUCUUCUAAACAAAUUUCCUAUAAAAUUAAAUCUUACAUAUAAAAUCCUAUUCCUACUAUUUAUGAAAAACAAGAAGUGUUCUUCAAAAAAAAAAAAAAACCAAAACUGUUGUCCAAAGGCAUAAUAAAAUCAUAUAUAAAUACAGCAAACCUUUAUAAGUCAGCAAGAAAUAUGGUAAUUUCCUGGAAAAUGCUGAAUACUUAAAAUAAAAAUGCUGAAUACUUAAAAAUAACUAAAACUGAAAAUACCAGUAACUUUGGCAAUAGGAUUAUUGCCUUAUCUUGUCCACCAUCAUCUUGCAGCUUCAGGCCCUGCCACUAGUGGAGAAUCACUCAGGGAAUUUCUGCAAAAAAUGCAUCCAAAGGUAGCUGUUUGAAUGACUGCCUUAAACAGCUCCUUGAAUAAAGUAUUAACUUUUUCCAAAUUGUAACAUUAACUUAUGAGUAGCAAUCCAUAAAUCUAUCUUGUUAUAUAACAAUCAUUUUUCUAAAGAAACAAUUAAGAUGGAUGGCAUUUCUUUAUUUCCCUUCUGACUUUUUCUCCCUGCCCCAAAUGAACUGAUACACAGUGAGGGCUGAGAACCACUGAACUAAAUGAACACAUCUUACUUAAAACACACACAUACACCCCAAUAACAACAAAAAAAACCCUCUUAGCACAGGUGAUUCAUUUUUAGCAAAAAUAUAUUCUUAUGUGCCAUGGACCUUAGGGUCACUUAAAAACCAAAAUUCUUUAUCUUUACAAUAUCAGAUCAUUCAUUGAAAUUUUUGAAAAUUGCUACUGAAAUUUAUAAAACAGGACAAUAGCCAGCAGUGAAAAAAAAAAAAAAAAAAGAUGGCACAGAAUCAAACUGACAUGAAACUACUAUAGUUCUGAAUUCUGCCCUGAAUUUCAGAUGAACUUACCUAAUUCUGUCAGCUUUAAAUUUAUGGUAUAUGACCAUAUGUUGAGAGAUACCUGUAAUAUACCUCCACUGCAUUAGGAAAAGUUACUAAUCAGAUUAGUGAUUUUUUUAAAUGAGACAUUCUCAAUCAAAUCACAAAUUUAAAAAAUAAAAUUAACAUGGAUCAUGAAGUUUUGGAAGAAAUGUUUUAAAAACUACAAAACAACAUAAUCUAAGAAAAAUAUAGUAAGUAUGAUAUAUGAUUAAAUGACAUCAAUAAUUAAAGUCUACAAAGUACCUGUUUGGAGGUGGUUUUGGUUUUGGCAUCUUACUAAGAAUGGUUGCCAUCUCUUUUCUCUCAUCGAAAUUCUUCCACUGCUCAUAUAGUUUUAAAAUAACCCUGAUUAUUUCCAAAAUCUAGAAGAAAAUAUUUGAAAAGUUCUCAGUGGCAAAAACAAGCAACAUUUUUUAUAUAAAGAGCAUACAUCACUACACAACCCUCAGAAAACAGUAAAUAGUCUCUGUCCUUAAAUCCUGAUAAAUUUGAAAGCAGUAUUUUUCACCACAGUGCUGUUUAGGAUUUUCCUUCUAGCAUCUCAUUUUUCAGCAUGUGUGCAUUGUCCAUUCUUAUCUAUCUCUGCAGCUGAUUUCCUUCCAUCUGAUGGUAUCUUUUAAACUGAAACAUACUAAGAAUAAAGGUUCUAAUCAUGAGGGAAUAUACCACUAUAGAGCACACUCCUCUAGUAUAAAUUAUUUUAAACAACUUAAUCGGGGGUAGUGCACAAAAGAUGUUUUGAUUCUCUGUUACUACACAUACAUUAAGGUGCUCAAAAACUGGCAGCUACAAAUUUGAAACAACUAGUUAACAAAUUAGCUAUUUUUUUCCCACCUGAGUAGAACCUAACCUUAGGAUUAAUUUUAAUGCAUUUAACACUUGAGCAGAAAAGCUAGAAACACAGCAAAAGCCAUUCUGCCAGGAGAUAGGCUAUGUUACAGAAGUUCACAGUAGUAUUCAGUGGUUACCAGGGAGCUUUUAAAAUAAUCCUGGGAAUGAGAGGCUACUUUGCAACCAAUUAAACCAAAAGUUUACCAUUCUGUUUAAUCCUAAACUGAAAAGAGAUACAUAACUUAAAUAAUCAGCAUUAACUCUUCCUACCAAACUUUUUUUUUUUUUAAACGGAGUCUCGCUCUGUUGCCCAGGCUCGCGUGCAGUGGCACGAUCUUGGCUCACUGCAACCUCUGCCUCCCAGGUUCAAGCAAUUCUGUCUCAGCCUCCCGAGUAGCUGGGAGUACAGGUGCAUGCCACCACACCCAGCUAAUUUUUGUAUUUUCAGUAGAGACGGGGUUUCACCAUAUUGGUCAGGCUGGUCUUGAACUCCUGACCUCAGGUGAUCCGCCCACCUAGGCCUCCCAAAGUGCUGGGAUUACAGACACAAACCACCAUGCCCAGCCCAUGUUUCUUAAUAUUUUGUAACCAAUAAUCUUCUUAGCCUGGUGGACAUCACAAGAUUUUAGGCUCAUGAUAAGUAAAUAUGACAUUAAUUUUUAAACAUCCAAGUUUACAUACAACUAAGGGAAUACCUUUUCCAUAUCCACAGAAAGCUCAGCAAACCAUUGCCUGGCAUCUUUCUGCUGUACAACACAGGCUACAUGUAGGCAAGCUGAAAUGAAAAUGAGAGACAACUGUCCAUGUUUAACUGCAAACACAGAAUAUAUGAUCUAACAAAGAUUUUUCACUAUUUCCUGUGUAUUUUCCAACACUCUUUAAAAAACAUUAAACAGCUACAUAUGAGAGUUACCACUGACCAUCUCAUCAAUGUAAUCCGAGACAGAAAAAAUUACUAGAUUACAUCAAGUUCUUGACAUCUGGUCCUCACUGCGUGCUAGUCAUGGUGCAGUUGCCUUGAGAGUCAGGCACGUUAAAGAGGAAAAACAUCCAAUGAGGAGAGCAGAAAAGGGAAGUUAUCCCUGAGUAGUGUACAAAGUAGCCGUUAAACUGCACCCAGAAGUCAGUGUGACAAAACAAAACAAACAAAAAUGUUAAUUAAUAUACUAGGUUUUAACAAUGUUGACUGUGUUUCCACAUUUCAGUUAAAAGCAGUGUUGCCUGGCCUUUUUUCUUCCUUUUCAUUAUUAGCACAUGAUCAAGUUAUGUGAAAGCUGGGCACAUCCUUACAGAAUUCAGUGUUGUAAUCAAAUAAAGGUUAGAAAAUAAAUGUAAUAUACUGUAUACAAUAUUAGUUAUAUAUGUUAUAUACAAUAUAAACUAACAAAAGAGAGGAAUCUACAUCAUAAUUUUGCCUAAAACAAUUUCUACUGAGCAGCCUGUAUACCCUUAACCCACUCCAGCUUAAGUUAUACUCCGUGGUCUGGUUAUCCAUGUCUUUGCUAAGGAUGACAUUCUAGGCAAAUAGCAACUCAAAUGUGAACUGACACACUGGUUGCCCUAAGUCAAGCAAAGCUAUGAGUAGGGCUUAGGUCAAGAAGAGGUUAAAAAAAACCAAAUGACUGACAUGAUAAAAACAGGAAAUUAAAAUACAGUGGACAAUGCUAUUAACAUGGGCAUGCAUAGAGUACACUGAAGAUUGAGGAAGCAUCCUAAACCCAGACUGAGGUGAUGCUGAAAGGGUGGGGGAGGGUCACUGAAGAGCUGAUAUCUAAGCCAAGUCUUACAAAAAAAAAAAAUGAGAGUGGGAGAAGAGAAUAGUAUGUAUAUCAAUUGGGAGACGAAUUUGGCUAGCUCCGGGUUUCUCAAUCUUGGCACUACUGACAUCUUAGGUUGAACAAUUCUUUGACACUGUCUUGAAUACUACAAGAUGCUUGGCAGCAUCCCUGGCUUCUACCCACUAGAUGCUAGUAGCACCCUACCCUAGUUAUGACAACUAAAACCAAACAUUGCCAAAUGUCCCCUCGGGGCAAAAUUAUCCCCAGGUGAAACCACUAGCCUAGCUCAACAGUUUGGAAGAUAGACAGGCUCUCUGAGGAUGGGAGUGCUGGAGGCUAAUAAGCCAGUUAGGAGACUGCUGUGGUAACAUGGAUAGAAAUGAGAAGAUGACUAUGAGAUUACAGAAGGAACAAUCGAGAGGAAGGCACAAAAUGUACUGGUAAACAACUACAUGUGGGUAUUGAGGGAGAUGAAAGGGCCUAACUGCUGGGUUUCCAACUAAGGUAUAUAACUAGUGCUAUUCACCAAACUGGCAAAGACAUUAAAAGGAGGAACAUAUUUUGGGGCAAAGUGAUAAGCUCAAUCCUCAUCAUGAGUCUGAGGUGCUGGUGGGAUGCCAAGCGGAGCUAUGUAAAAGGAAGAUGGAUAUAAAGAACUGCCAAGUGGCAAGAUCUUGGCUAAAUAAAGAGAUUUAAAUGUUUCGGCAUGUAAGUGAUAGUAGAAGCCAUGAAUCUCAGUUAAAGUACCCAAGAAGAAGACAGCAGGGAUGGCAAAGAUGUGACACAUGUUCUGUUAUCCCUUCCUUCCUACCUAUGCAGAUCCCAGUAUUCCUACCCACUGGGUAGGACACCACUCAAAAUCCUUUCAAAUCCAGUCCUUUCAGGGAACUGCCAGUAAUACAGAAGUGUAAGUAUAACCUAUUUGUCAGCCCUGAUGUAAGAAGGCCAAGAAACAUCAACAUUUAAGGAAUAAUUGAACAACUGAACAAAGACAAACCAAUGGAAAAUAAGAGGGGAAAAUCAAGAGGAUGGAGUUAUAAAAAUCAAUAGAAGGGGCUGGGGUGCAGUGGCUCACGCCUGUAAUCCCAGCACUCUGAGAGGCCAAGGAGGGUGGAUCACCUGAGGUCAGGAGUUCAAGACCAGCCUGGCCAACAUGGCGAAACCCUGUCUCUACUAAAAAUACAAAAAUUAGCCAGGUAUGGUGGUGGACACCUAUAAUCCUCCUGUAGGCAGGAGAAUCGCUUGAACCCAGGAGGCAGAGGUUGCAGUGAGCCAAGAUCACACCACUGCACUCCAGCCUGGGAGACAGAGUGAGACUCCAUCUCAAAAAAAAAAAAAAAAAAAAAUCAAUAGAAGGAAAAGGAACAAAAAUUAACAAGUGCCCAAUAUAUAACAGGCAUUAUUUGGUGCUCUACAACCUAUCUCAUUUAAUUCUUCAAACGGCUCAGUGGAAUUAUUAGUAUUCUCUCCAUUUUACAAUUAAGGAAACAAACACGGAAAGGUCAGAUAAUUUUCCCACAAUUGUAAAGGAGGUAAAGUUUAAGCCUAGGACUAUCUGACUCCACCCAUUACAGCACUGCUUUCCACAGACUGUAGAAUGAAUGUACUUAACGUCUUCCUCCAGCCAAGCAUUAUGGACCACAGAUGCUCCUUUACUCAACCUCUGAGUAUUUGUUUGGGCUCAGGAUAUGAAAGCCCCAAUUAUUUUACAUGCUACAACUAAUAUUAGCUGGCUUAAUUCUGAACUUUUCCCUCUAAACAAACAAAUAUGUUCUAUUCAGACACCGAUUAAAACUAUUUUGAAUGGUUUCAAAAAAAAAAAAAAAAAACUUACCAAAAAGGGGGUGGGGGAAUAAUAAUCCUGAUUUAUGACAGUUGCAGUUCAUAUUAUUGAAAGCUCACAUGCAAGGAUUAGUCUAUUACUUCAUGGAACAUAAAAACAUAAAGUACAAUAGGGUGAAAUUUAGUUUAGGAUGACCUAAAUAAGUUUAUAACAAUUUAACUCAUAAAGGCACACCAUGCUUACAUACCUAAAGCUAUCAUGAAAGGAGGAUACAGUAGGCAAAGAUCCGUUCUGUAGGUAUCAUUCACUAUCCUCCUAUAGAAAUGUAAAUCAUAUUAUUACUGAAAGCAGAACUACCUCAUCUGAUUGUAUAUUUCCUCCAGAGAGGGCCAGAUUUCCCAUCUUUGCACACAUUUAUUUCCUUUUAUACUACUGAAGCACAGCUAUAAAAGUGAAAACAUCAAGGCAAAAGGAUGGAUACAUGAAUGUGACAACAAAUAAGCACAUAUCAAUGAAUAAAAUUACAGCUAAAUAUAUUUUAAAUUUCAAAAUCUCAUAACAAAUUAUAAACACAUUUUUCUAAUUUUUUAAAAAUCAGAAAAAUCAAAUUAAAAAACCAGAAAUUAUACAGUAAAUUUAUAUGUAUGUUGCAGACUACCAAAAAGUAUUCUGAUUACUUUAAAGAUAACUUCAGUCUUAAUUUUUAUGUUAACAGUCUGUGUUUUGUAUAAAAUUAAAUUUUAAUAGGUAUAUUUAUGGAACAGAUAAUUUAGGAUUGUUUUCAUUUUGGCAUUUACACCACUAUAGUUAUUAAAAUUCAACAAGUGGUAUUUUGCUCAACAUAAAAUAUCUUGGGGCAAUAGUUUAAUGACUUUAAAAAUACUUAACUUCAUAUUUAAUUGUCAACCUUCCUAUCUAAUAACAUGUUACACUAUUAAUAACUUCUGUUCUAAUUACCAUGCAAGGGGAAGCAACAUGUCUUCUUGGCCCAUGUCCUGCACAUACUGGAGCAAAGGUCUAUAAGGAUGAUACACUAUCAAGCAACAAUCCUAGAAACAGUUUAAAAAAUGUGUAUGUAUAAAAAACAGAUUUAUUACAACACAAAAAUGUUAUCAUUACCCAACUGAUUUGUAAUUGUGUAUUUCAAAGUGAAUUUCACUAACUCAUGCUUGCUUCCCUUUUAUUCUCUUAAGCUAGCAGUAUGACAGCCCUAAACUCUACCGUAAUAGUGAAGGCAGUGCUCUCUCUGGAAUAUACCUUGAUAAAUCGGUUGGCAGUCAGUCAGCAUCCAUUCAUUCCCUUAGAGACUCAAAGUGUCACAUCUGCAACACACUGAAACCUCUUAUUAGCCUAUAAAUUCAUAAUUCCCAACUGGAGGAGCAGAAUUCUGCCAAAGACAUAAUCUAUCUUUAAAUAACACUGCACGCACACACAAAUUGUGCACAUAAUUUAUGGUGGUUUAAUGUCCUGACUUGUCUGUUUGUAAUCCUUUCAUUAUAGUUACUUACUAUAGAACAGAAAAAUUUUCCCAUCCUAAGUAGGAUAUACAAAUUAUUUUACAGGCUUCAGAGAGACUCUAGGUGCUAAUAUAAAUAGGCUACCAUGAUUUCACCAUCACAUAUUAGGUGGAUGGUUUUAAAAUGUACCUCUCUAAAAUCAUUUCUUUAAAUAAUUUCCAACUUCAUUUAAUUUAAAAAUGUUUUAAUCUAUUAAUCACAGAAGAUUUACUUACCAUUAGUUCUAACAGAUAGAAUUCACAUUCUAAUAUCUGUUUAAAACAAAGAUUAUCAAUGAAAUGUCAAUAUGAAACCAAAUUAGAUAAGUCCACUUAAUCUAACAUAAAUUACAGACAUUAUAGUAAUUUAUCAAAAAUUUUUACUAAAAAGUUUUAAAAAUCCAGACAAUAAACAUAGUUUAUAUUAAAAUAAAUAUCUGCAAUAAAAAAUUACUAUUAGAAAUGCAAUUAUGAUUAUAAGGAUUUUAAUCCUUGUAAGGAAAAGCCAGCUUCUCACAAUCAUUCUUAUUACUCACUUUUAUUUAAAAUAUCCUGUAAAACCAUCAGAUUUUCCAGUAUACUUUCUACUCAGCAAAUGCAAAAAUACAAUUAUUUCUACUUAAUUUAAAAAAUGUAACUUAAAGAGAAUAAACAAAUCCCUUGCAAGGUGGAAAAAGGACAUACCUAUUAAAAUGUCAAUAGAAAUUCACCUUAUAUUUCAUAUUGUUCCAUUAGUUUUUAAUCCCAGCUAAAUAGUAGUAUCACCUGGGACCUUUUACACAGUACCAAUGUUGGGAGCCCCAAGGCUGAAAAUUCUGAUUUUGUUGUUCUGGAAAGGAUCCAACAUCAGUAUUAUUUACAAGUUCCCAAGGUGAUUUAAUGAGCAGCCAGGGUUGAUAAUCGCCACUAUGAAGUAUUUUUUUUAAAUGGUAAAAGCUAUUUAGCUUUAAUUUAGAAUAAUGUCUGUAUUUAUGUAAUAUUUGAAACUGCCAUUUCUAGGAAACUAUUAAAUUUAGUCUAAUAUAAAAUAGAGCUAGUUUAUAUAUAGCUUUGAUAAUUGUUCCAUUUUAUAUCAUAUACUUACAUGAUUCAUCCUAUAAGGAAAUUCCUUUGGAAAGGCAUAUGAAAAUCUAGUUUUUACUGCAGAAAAUAAAAAAAAAAUUUAAACUGAGAAAAUGGGAAAUAAAUUAACUCAAAAUUCCUUUAACAGAGCAGAAUAUUAGAGGGUAGAGCAAAAUUAUUUUCAGUAGGAAUUCUUGGCAACACUUACGGACGCAGAUUUUUAUUUACUUUCAGGGAAGGGGAAAGACUGGGGGGCAGGACACUCUACACAGCUUCAAUUUUAUAUUUACUACCUUAAGAAAGGAUUCUGAUGUUUAAAAAAGAAAAAGAUCAGGAAAAAAAAAUCACUGGCUUUUAUCAUUUCUAAAAUCUUUUCAGCUACAGAAUGGUAUUCUUCUGUUUUCCAGUGACUGAGCUUAGAAGGAACACAGGGGUUACAUAUGUGUUUACAAUAUAUACAAUUGGUAAAAAAUAUACAUAUAAAAUAUUGGGAGGAUAGUACACCAAAAAAAUGUUAACAGUGGUUAUUUGUGAGAUUUAAGAACUUUUUACUAAUCUGCACUUUCUAAACUUUUUACAAUGACCAGGUAUUUAUCAAAAUAUAUAUUUUAAUAAAAGCAUUAAUAUAUAUGCAAAGGUCUCGAGUUACUCAUAAAGUAGUAGUAGUAACACAUAAAGUUAGUACUCUAUUAUCUAUUACUUUAUUGGUUAGUCACUAAAUAAAGUACAAAUGAAAAAAAAAUGUUAACCAUCAAUCCCCCAUCUCCUUAAAAUGGUGUGAGCAUAUACACAUAAGUACUAUUUGAGAAACUGUAUUCAAGCCAUUAUGACACAUUUAAUUCAACCAAGUAACUACUGACAGGUCCUAAAAAAUGUUUAGUGUCAGCUUCCAUUUGUACAAAGCCCAAGUGAUUUCACUGAAAUUAAAAGAAAUUCCAUUUCUGGCCAGGCACAGUGGCUCAUGCCUGUAAUCCCAGCACUUUGGGA